AUUGAACGCUGGCGGCAUGCCUAACACAUGCAAGUCGAACGGCAGCACGGCAGUAGCAAUACUGUGGGUGGCGAGUGGCGGACGGGUGAGGAAUACGUCGGAAUCUGCCCAGUCGUGGGGGAUAACUAGCCGAAAGGUUAGCUAAUACCGCAUACGACCGAGAGGUGAAAGCGGGGGACCGGCAAGGCCUCGCGCGAUUGGAUGAGCCGACGUCGGAUUAGCUAGUUGGUGGGGUAAAGGCCCACCAAGGCGACGAUCCGUAGCUGGUCUGAGAGGAUGAUCAGCCACACUGGAACUGAGACACGGUCCAGACUCCUACGGGAGGCAGCAGUGGGGAAUAUUGGACAAUGGGCGCAAGCCUGAUCCAGCAAUGCCGCGUGUGUGAAGAAGGCCUCGGUUGUAAGCACUUUAUUCAGGACGAAAGACGUUGGAGUUAAUACUCUGACGUGCGUG
rnacentral:rRNA from 1 species